AGGUUAAAGAAGCCACUGACAUGAUUGGUCAACUGCAAGGUAAAUUACCGGGAAGCUCAACAGAGAAAGCCUCAAAAGCAGAGCUCGUGGCCCUUCUUGACUGCCAUGACACGUGUUCCCUGGAGCUAGAGCAGCAGCAGCUGGCCCUGGGGAUGCUACAGCAGUGAGCACUGAGCAUGCUGAAGGACGGAGCUGUCCCCGCACCUGGAGAGGAGCCUCCCGUCCUGCAGGAAAUCAUGGCGAUGCAAGACCAAUGCCUCAACAUGCAGGAGAAAGUGAAGAAUCAUGGGAAGGUGGUAAAGCAGGAGCUUCAGGAGAGAGAAGCGGUGGAGACUCGAAUUCUGUGAAAUCGUGGGUUCAAGAAACAAAGGAAUAUUUAGGAAAUCCAACAAUAGAGGUAGAUGCUCAACUGGAAGAGCUGAAGAUCCUCCUGACUGAAGCCACA